UACGUAGGGGGCAAGCGUUGUCCGGAUUUAUUGGGCGUAAAGAGCGUGUAGGCGGCCAGGUAGGUCAGCUGUGAAAACUCGAGGCUCAACCUCGAGACGUCGGUUGAAACCACCUGGCUAGAGUCCGGAAGAGGAGUGUGGAAUUGCCGGUGUAGUGGUGAAAUGCGUAGAGAUCGGCAGGAACACCCGGGGGGAAGCCGGCCGACUGGGCUGGUACUGACGCUGAAGUGCGAAAGCGUGGGGAGCAAACCGG
rnacentral:rRNA from 1 species